rnacentral:rRNA from 1 species
CCUACGGGCGGCUGCAGUGGGGAAUCUUGCGCAAUGGGCGGAAGCCUGACGCAGCAACGCCGCGUGAACGAAGAAGGCCUUCGGGUUGUAAAGUUCUGUCAGGGGGGACGAAGAGGUGACGGUACCCCCAGAGGAAGCCCCGGCUAACUACGUGCCAGCAGCCGCGGUAACACGUAGGGGGCGAGCGUUGUCCGGAAUUACUGGGCGUAAAGGGCGUGUAGGCGGCCGAUCAAGUCAGGUGUGAAAAAUCAGGGCUUAACCCUGAUCGUGCACUUGAAACUGGUUGGCUUGAGUGCAGGAGAGGAAAGUGGAAUUCCCAGUGUAGCGGUGAAAUGCGUAGAUAUUGGGAGGAACACCAGUGGCGAAGGCGACUUUCUGGACUGCAACUGACGCUGAGGCGCGAAAGCUAGGGGAGCAAACAGGAUUAGAUACCCCAGUAGUC